CACAAAUAUAAUUUCCUCUGUCCAAUAAUGGCAAAUUCGCAUGCAUGCUGUUUUGAAAGACAUUUCGACUUUUAG
rnacentral:sRNA from 1 species